rnacentral:rRNA from 1 species
CAGCCGCCGCGGUAAUACGAAGGGUGCAAGCGUUACUCGGAAUUACUGGGCGUAAAGCGUGCGUAGGUGGUGGUUUAAGUCCGUUGUGAAAGCCCUGGGCUCAACCUGGGAAUUGCAGUGGAUACUGGGUCACUAGAGUGUGGUAGAGGAUAGUGGAAUUUCCGGUGUAGCAGUGAAAUGCGUAGAGAUCGGAAGGAACAUCUGUGGCGAAGGCGACUAUCUGGGCCAACACUGACACUAAGGCACGAGAGCAUGGGAGCAAACAGGAUUAGAUACCCCCGUAGUCCCUGUCUCUUAUACA